rnacentral:lncRNA from 1 species
CACUUAAACGGGUAGUUGGAAUGAAGAGGAAAAUAGGGACUGGAUAAUUUAAAAGGUUAGGAGGAACUAAAGACUUUGCGCCGACUUAUUGAGUCUUGAUCAGACUUACAGGUUGAUAACACCAGGGGCAGGAUGGAAGGAACUGUCUAUGGUUCACACAAAAUCCCUGCUUACGUGCUAUAAGAUCAAGAAGUCCUUUAAACAUACAACAAUCCGGCUUGUUGCCAUAUGAUCAGAAAGUUCCCCCUAUAACCAACAACUUUAGUUGAUAGAAUUUUCUAUAAUAAGACUGGAGAUUUUAGAUAUAUUUACAUUUAUUAUGAUACUUAAUAUUCGCAUCUUUGCAGAGAUAGUAAAUAUGGUUCUUUAAUUGUCCAAUGGUCACAAGACGACCCCCGAAAGUGUUAGAGACCUAGGAUGUUGCUAUGGUUUGGGUUUAGCACUAAAAUAUUUGUUACAUCUUAGAUUCAUUUAAUUUAUGUGACAGGGGACAUUGAGCCAAUGAGAAUGAGACUAAACAUGCAUGUAUUGUCAUGAUACAUCCAGGCAUAUUGUACUCAAAUCAAAAACCUAAGGAACGCUUCGGCUUCCCCCAGAAGUGAGUUAAACCCGGCGGAGUGUCACAAGCCUGACUGAAAUCUCAUACAGGAAAGAGAGUGAGUGAUCCUUUCCUUUGUUCAGCACACGCCGUGGUACAUCUGUUGACUGUUUUUGGACAUUACCCUGGUUUUUGUUAUUCUUUAAAAUAAACUGUUCUUCGUAUGUCCAUAAUUUUUUUCCCCAUCUCAGACUCUGGCGUGACAGAAGAAUCGCUCUCUGCCAAAGAUGGAUGGCUCUUUAGUGUCGUUGCCCCCAGACCACUCCUCCACAACACUGGAGGAAGUGGUGGCAGCACAUCACCGGCAGUUGGGUCGCCUGACCAAUUCCCUGGCAGAAGUGGUGGCACAAAGGGACCAGAUCGCCGCACUCACCACCACAGUCCAGCAGCUUCUGGCCCAGGCCCCCGGCAGAGCGGCCCCACUUACUGCCCCACAACUUCAAGGAGGAGAUCCUCCAUUUCCAGAGCCGGAUCUCAAGUCUCCCUGAGCCGUACUCUGGUGACCCCGCGGGGUGUAAGAACUUUUUACUCGGGAGUGAGUUUUACUUGUCAACGGUCUCACAGACCAGCAGAGAUCAGUACCAUUCUGCAACGACUAUCAGGACCAGAACUGGACUGGGGUGGAGCACUCUGGAGACAGGGUUGCGAAGAGUCAAUAGUCUCAGACUCCAGUGUGACAGAAGAAUUGCCCUCCCAAGAUGGACUGCUCUUCCGUUCCAUUGGCAAUAGACCGCUCCUCCACACUAGAGGAAUUGGUGGCAGCGCACCACCGGCAGCUGAAUCACCUGACCAACUCCCUGGCCGAGGUUGCUGUGCAAAUGGACCAGAUCGCUGCACUCACCACCGCAGUCCUGCAGCUGCUGGUCCAGCCCCCCUCGGAGGAGCUCCACACCCAGCUCCAGCCCACACCUUCCAGGAGGAGCUGAUCUGGUUCCAGAGACCCCCCCU